rfam:Triticum aestivum genome assembly, contig: Triticum_aestivum_CS42_TGACv1_scaffold_271648_3DS
AAAAUACUCCCCCAGUACGGAAAUAUUUGUCGGAGAAAUUGAUGUAUCUAGACGUAUUUUAGUUUUAGAUACAUUCAUUUUUAUCCAUUUCGAUGACAAGUAUUUCCGGGCGGAGGGAGUAUAUG